GUUUCUCUGGCUUUAUAAAAACCACUUACCACGUUAAGCUCUUUUUAUUUGGAUGACUACGAUUUGUAAAGACAUGAUGCUUUUAUUAACUUUGACCUCUGGAUAUCUAUUGCAAUUGGUUUAUUCAAGAACGAUACCCCGUCUUUGCAAUGAAGCCCAGUUAAAAGAAUAUCUGGAUCGGAUGAACAACGAGACCUUUCUUUCCUCGGGAGGGUACCAGUUCUUUGCACAUGAGGACACCUCUCCCAAAUCUCAGUCCAUCGUACAGGUGCCACGACCUUCAGACAGAGGACUCAGAUCUCUUACAGGAUAGAUCCAGCUGCCC
rnacentral:sRNA from 1 species